rnacentral:rRNA from 1 species
AUUGAACGCUGGCGGCAGGCCUAACACAUGCAAGUCGAGCGAGCGGCGGACGGGUGAGUAAUGUCUGGGAAACUGCCCGAUGGAGGGGGAUAACUACUGGAAACGGUAGCUAAUACCGCAUACCAUCAGAUGUGCCCAGAUGGGAUUAGCUGGUAGGUGGGGUAACGGCUCACCUAGGCGACGAUCCCUAGCUGGUCUGGGAGGAUGACCAGCCACACGGGAACUGAGACACGGCCCAGACUCCUACGUGAGGCAGCAGUGGGGAAUAUUGCACAAUGGGCGCAAGCCUGAUGCAGCCAUGCCGCGUGUGUGAAGGAGGCCUUCGGGUUGUAAAGUACUUUCAGUGGGGAUGCGUUACCCGCAGAAGAAGCACCGGCUAACUCCGUGCCAGCAGCCGCGGUAAUUC